AUGAGCACAUCAGGUGUGUGCUCGCCAUUGCGCCAUCUGCAAGCCUCACCGUCGUGUGGAAGUAAGCUGCCUUGUGAAGGAAAUCUAUAUUCGACUGCUACUUCUGCGGCAUCAAAAAUUCGACUUAUAACAUGGGGACUUGGUGGUGCCAGAGAAGCAAGCUUGCUAAAAUCACUCCUGGUGACCUGGCAGGCUGAAUGCAAGAAGGCUCAGCCAGGAGCCCAAGGGGCAAAGUGGAAGACACCACACUGUGAGUGCUGUGUCAGGUCCGGUAGCAGGAGACAGAGACUCAGCUUACAAGCAGAGUUGAAAGUGGACAGAGAGAUGGACCCAGAAAUUCAGAGCGCUGCAAGGGCAGAAAAGCCAAUCGCUCCAAGCCUUAGGAUUUUAACAAGCUUUGUGAGCCAAAGGCCCGAUAAAUCGCCUGAGUUGGACUGAUCAACACAAGACAAAGAUGGGAUUAAGGGCCGUUCAAGCCUGAGCGCCUCUGACAGCCGCCACUGAGUUGACUGAGAGCAGAUACACCCUGAAACUGGAGUCUCCUGUGUGCAGCAGUCACGGCUCACUGUGUUCUGAAAGUUUGUGUCCCUCCAAAAGUCCUGUUCAAACCCAGUCCCCAAAGCCACGGUAGUAAGAGGGGGUGCCUUUGGAAGGCGAUGAGACCGUGGGGGCUUCACCCUCAUGUGUGGGAUCAGGGCCCUGUAAAAGAGUGAGGGAUGAGCUUGGUGCCUGUGUGCCCUUUCACCUUCUGCCACGUGAGGAUGUGGCAAGAAGGUCCUCUGAGACACCACCUCCAGGGCCAGAUUCCCAGCCUCCGAGACUGUGAGCAGUCGAUUUCUACGAUUUAUGAACUACCCAUUCUGUGGUGUUUUGUUAGAGCAACACAGACCGACAGACAUUGGUACCGGGCAGUGGGGCUGUUGCCAUAACAGACACCUGGAAGUGUGGCGGCAGAGCCGGAACCGGGUCACGGAAAGGCCGGACCCGUUCUGCGGUGCACGCUGGAAACUGCACAUUUCUGUGAAUGGAGGUGGUGCCGGGGUGACCCAGUGCGGGCCGGGGAGGGCGGGGCUGCAGAGAGAGCCUCCGGGUCCGCGGCGGUGAUCUCAGUGGUCGUGAACGGAAUGCUGGUGGAGCCUCACAGUCAGGGCCAUCCUCGUGAGGUCUUCCACAGACGUGAGAACUCUCUGAUUGGAAACUGGGGGAGGGCCGUCCUUUUUACAAAGCGGCAAAGAACUUGGCUGAAUUGCGUCUGAGCCCUGGGGCUCCGUGGGAGGCAGGAUUUAAAGCGAUGAACUAGAAGAGCUGGUGGGAGAAAUCGCUAAGCAAAGCGCUCUGGCUUCUGUUGACCGCUCACAGCCAGAGGCGAGGAAAGAGAGGUGCGGUAAAGACAUUGAUAGCAGAAGGAACAGACUGGAAAGACUGGGACAACUCUCAG
rnacentral:lncRNA from 13 species